ACCCGCUCCGGGACCCCCGCUCCUGCACCCCGGUACCCGCUCCGGGACCCCCGCUCCUGCACCGCGGCACCCGCUCCGGGACCCCCGCUACAUUCCCCGUACCCGCUCCGGGACCCCCGCUACAUUCCCGGGACCCGCUCCGGGACCCCGCUACAUUGCCGGUACCUGCUCCGGUACCUUCUCCCGAUCUUCGGUCCCUGCACCCCCCGGCACCUGCCCUGGCACCCCCCCGCAGCCGCAGUCCCCGCCCUGCCGUGCCCCCGCCAGUGCAGCCCCAGUGCCGGGGUCAGAUCGGGAUAAGCACACGGUAUAAGUGUCGCUGACUGAUCAAGCUGUCAUUACCACCCCAUCCUCACACCCCUGACACCCUCUCUUUGACCAACAGAACCACAAGAGCACGUCAGGGUGUUUACAAACAGACUUUCCGGGGUGGUUUGUCAGUCAUUCCAGCCUUUCAAAGUGCUGAAAUACUGCCCUAGAUGGCCCAACCAGCCUAAAAGUGACAUCAACUAUUCUCAUGCAAUUUUGGUUUUGUGCUACCUGUUACACGUGGAUUUCAAAGCACUUGUGCAAGAAAAUUAAGCUGAUCAAGACUGUACAGUCAAUCCAAAGGAGAGCAAAAGACUGAUUUGCACAAAUUCACACCUCAGGUUUCUGCCAGAGCCUGGUCCAUGGCUUCCUCUUCAGACCCCACCAGAAUGUUCCAGUCCCUGCCUUCCAAGAGGAGGAGAAGCAUCAGCAGAGGCUGCCCAAAGAGGCAGCAGGAAUGCCUUCCUUGAAGAGCCUCAGAACCUGACAAGGCACUGAACAACUUGGAUAACUGACCUCAGCCCUGCUCCAGAGAGGAGAGGAGACCAAAGGCUCCACAAGCCUUUCCAACCUGAACUAUUCCUAAGCUGGUCUUUCUUCACUGGGGUCAGCAGCAUUUCUGGAAAAUGUAAGAUGAACUCCAGUAAAAAUGCCAUUGCAGAUCUGCUGUUACCAGCAGCCACCCUGCGGAGCUGCCCUCGGUAUCUUUCUUCAGCCUCCAGGAUGACUCUGUGGUGCUCACACCUCUGCAGGCAACUCUGCAACAUCUUGGUGAAGGUUUUACUGUUCAAGGACAGUCCUGCUGUGCAACCUGGGAAAAACAGGAUACUGCAGAAAUAGCAAUCACAGCUUCUGAAGAAGCCACCACAAAAUUCAGUGUUUCAUUUUGCUCACGAGGAUCAUUUUGACUUCAGGUUUUCCAUACUCAUGUCAUUUUUAUGUGCCUUCUUGAAAUACUUUGUAUUUGCUCUCUCAAAAUGAAAGAAAAAUAAUAUUGUUGAAAUUUUAUUGUUGAAAUGUUGAAAAUUUCAACAUAUUAUGGGAUUAAGUUAUACUACAAUUACACUCCAGGAGUACUGAGUGAGGCACAGAUCCUCUACAGAACUACAAAUAUCAGUGGGAUGGGAAGACACAGGCCUCAGUUCCAUUUGCACAUUUAUCCAGGAGCCAAAAUACAUAUAUUAUGUACUAUUAUUUAUUUUUUUAAAAAACUUUGUAUUGUAGCAGUUACCUGAAUCAAUCUUAAUCUGAAUCAAUGGUAAGUCUAGUUUAGGCAUGAAUUCCCUCACAGGAAGCCUUGCUGCUCAUUUUUGAGGACAUUCCUAGGGUAAUUUAUGGUUUAGAUAUCCUUAGAUGCUCUCAUGGUUAAGUUACAUCCGCUGAAGGAGAACUUGUGUGAGGUGUCACAGUAAGGGCACAAGUCCAUAUCUGUAACAUUCCACCUUAAGAUAAAGCAGUGCUAAAGCUCAGCUUGAAUUUAGUUUGAUAGCUCAGAUAAAAAUAAUGUUCAAAGGUAGGUUAUGGGCUGCUUUGGGGGUUCUUUGGUCUUCUGUGGGUUUUUGUUCAGUUGUGGGUUUUUACAUGAAGAAACAUUGGCUUGAUUACAAAAUCUACUCACAAAUCCAGAGUACCAGCAGCAUUCUCAUGACUACUGAUGGAGCAGGCUGAGGCAGUGGAGCCUGGGGUAACUGAGGGCUGUAGUUGUGGAUUACCAUAAAACUGCCUGCCUGUACUUCACAGCAGUGAGGCAGAGAGAACAGAAGGGCUGCAGAACACUGAGGAGGCUUAGCAGCAGAAUAAACGAGGGAAAUGAGAAGGGCUACGUGUUCUUCCUCUCUGCAAGCAGAGAAAGGAGGGAAACACCUGCUCAAGUAUUCUAUUUAGGGAGUCACCUUUCAAGUUACUGUAUGUUCUGUUUGUCAGCAAACCCACAUGGACCAAAACUGCAAUUUGACAGGGGAAGGGAAGGGGAAGGGGAAGGGGAAGGGGAAGGGGAAGGGGCACUCAGGUUUUGUUAUUACGUAAGCGGUAACAGAACAGAUGUGUUACAAUUUCUGUCAAGUCAAUCUGCUUACAGCACUGCUGACUCUUUAAGGCUUCUUUAUGUAAUCUGGAAAGAAAGAUUUAAGAUAAUAUUUACCUAAACACCUUAAACCUGCCAUUUUAUAGGAUGAAGAUGUGGCUGAAGUACUUUCAACUCUCUCAGUUUUCUCUGAGCAGAAUGAAUGUUGAUCUAAAUGAGAGAGGAAAAAAGUCACUAAGAAAUGUAACAUAUCUUUUGCCAUGGUAAUCAUGCAUCAACAUAACUACAUUCAACUGCAUUUUCUAUUUGUAGAUUAUUAAAGUUUAAUUAAUAGAACAGCAGAAAAUCCAAAUGAAAUUUCUCAAGUUAAAUGCCUCACAUUCAUAUUUCUGUAAUUCCAGAAUAACCAUGUUCAAUUCAGUGUUUUUUUCAUCACCCUCCCGAAGGAUAUUACUUCAGCUUGAACACAGCAAAUUGACCCAGAAAACCCAUAUUGUUUAUGGGUUUUCUGGGUCCUAUAAACUUUAUUUCUGUUUGGAAUCAGAUGCUGAAAAAUGCAACAUAUUGGAAUAAUACAUAUUCUCAGUUUAAACAGGUGUAACCUGGAGAUCAGCUGGUCACCUGUAAAGCUCCCAUUCUGGCAAACUCUAAUGAAUACUUAGCAAUUUUAUAAAUUAACAGGAAACUAAACAACAAAUAAUUAUUUAAUUGAACAGAUCCCAGUUCUGAAAUAAAUGUAUUAGACUAGGAUUAAUGCAAAUACGAAAAACUUCACCAUGUAGGAACAGCAUCAGGCAAAAGUCACUCUCACAGGCAGGUUCUAUCCCAGCCUUACAGGCACAGGACCACACCUGCAUUUUCUGUUAGUGGCUUUCACUGGUCAGUACAGAUUAAACACUAAACUUAAUCUCUGAUGCAUUCAUUUCAAUAGCUAAAAUCAGUUUUUUCAAAAAAAGAAAGCAAAAAUAUGUAUUAGAAGAAAAGUCAGAUAAAUGCUCUCCUGGUAAAAUUGUGUACAAUAUAGAAUUCCAACACUAUGCCAACCAGUUAAAGGAUAUUACAAAUAAGGCACCUCUGUCAUCUAAUGUUACAUAACAAGAGAUAAAAAGUAGUGAUAAAUGCACACAAAACUAAUUAAAAUCUCAUUGAGAACAAAAUCAGCUCAGAAAGGAAUAUAUGUAGCUAUUUGUACCUGAUGUGCAUGUCUGUUUUCUAUUUCUAACAGUCUCUGCUGGUUGUUUAAAAAACUGUUCACUGGGAAGAUCAAAACGUGAAGAAAUUAAAACCAAUAAAGCAAUAAAAACAACAUACAUUUACCUGAAAAUGAAUACACACAUUCCAAGGGCACAACAAAAAAACAUAUUAAAUAUAUAAAAGAGAAAAGUCUAAAAAAAAUUUAUCUAGUUAUCCCAAGUUACUGGACUUAUGGCACCCAGCAUGUAAUCAGUGCAUGUUAAAGAUUAUUUCCCAGAGAUCUGUGAUUGCCAUUCCUUGCAGUCUGUUCAGCAGGGAGUGCAGAGCUGUCACUGGUUUCCAGAGUAAUUUGCAAUUCAGAUUCACAUAAAGAUUACCAAGUGCACAUAAAGCUCUCACAAAGUCUUCAGAAUACUGUAGCCUUCACCAUUUGCAGCAAAUGCUCUAAAAGGUAAUUUGUUUUCUUCUUUUAUUACACUAAUUAACUUCAGUGCAACCAACACAGUGCUUUGAUACCUUGAUCAAGGGGUUUUGUAUCCCUGACUCCCUCUGAAAGCUGCAGGAGCAAGGAGCCUGAUCCAAGGUUACCUUCCAGUAAUUCCUGUGUUCACACAAACACAUACUCAAAAGGAGAGACUUUUAAAAAUUGUUAUUUUAACAGUUUCUGCACCAGAGCCAAGAACAACAACUAAAGAAGCUGUGAAAUUAUGUUAACCAGUAGCAAAGCAGAAUUUACCUGAAUGUACCAUGGAAAAUAUCCAGGCUCUUGGUGAUUUCUGUGGUAGUUGCAAAGUAACAAUAUAAAAGCAAGAAAGUGCAAAGAGCUAGGUGCAGCCAGACACAUUAAAAAAAAACCACAAUACAAUAAAAAUGUGGAACUCAGAAAGCCCAAAACAACAACAACAAAUCCCCAAAAUGUAGUUUUGCUCAUACUUUUCCAUUGACUGUUUUGAGGAAUAUUCCAGAUAUAAAUUUGAGAAUGAAACUUGUAUUUAUCAUUUCAAGUUAGCUAUAAAUAAUUUUAGGUUUAUCAAUAAGAAAGAUAAACACAAGCAGCAAAAUAAAAAGAGGAAAAUCAGCAUUUGUGUGAGAGCAACAAGCAAAAGAACAGGUAGUGACUAAACAGGGCUGUUCCUUUCUCUUCCCAUGCAGGGCAGCACAGGAAAAUGAGGGGAGAAUUGCAGAGGUGCAGAAAGUUAUGCUUCUACUUUGCAGACACCCCAAUUUCAGUAUUUUUCUGAGCAGUUCUCUACCUGUUGUUUCCCUAGUACAUGCACGUUACAGAAACUGUUUUGUCCAAACCAAUGGGUUAAAUCUUCAUCUGUUACAUCAGUGAGAACUCUGGGACAAAAGCCAUGGAGGAUUUCCAGCACUAUGCUGAAGGCACUUGAAUGUGCCCUGAAAGAGGCUCUCUGUCCAACACCAGCACUCAGAGAUCAGCACCUUUGUUACUGCAGUGAUUAAAAUGUUUGAUUUGUGACCUCAAAAACAAUCUCUAGUGGGCCACCAAAGGGCUACACCUUUCCACUAGCAAAAAAACCCACAUAGCUAGUAACAGAUAAUUUCAAAGCCUGUGAAUUUGCAAUGACUAAAGAAAAGCAACUAGUAUUUCUGCUUAGGGGUGCCAUUCUUACCCUGCCUCAAGACCAGACUGACUUUUUCCACAAGCAGUUUUUCCAUUUGUGUUGUGACCUGGAGGUUCACUGUCCAUUUGCAGCUCAGUGACCAAACAUGGAAAGUUCCUCUGCUCAAUUUGUCUGGUGGAAGCUGCAUCCACAGUGUUCACUGUUUCAUUUCUUUGUGGAGCAGAAGUUACAGAUGGAGCAAGAGCCUGAUUAUUCAACUUUGAGGUCAACUGUGGACAACAGACAUCUUUAUGUGUUCUUUCUGUGUGCUUCUUUGGAUCAGCAGGAUUCACCUCAUGGCAUUUUA